UACAGAGGGUGCAAGCGUUAAUCGGAGUUACUGGGCGUAAAGGGCGCGUAGGCGGUUUGUUAAGUGAGUUGUGAAAGCCCUGGGCUUAACCUGGGAAUGGCAACUUAAACUGGCGAGCUAGAGUACUGUAGAGGGUAGUGGAAUUUCCGGUGUAGCGGUGAAAUGCGUAGAGAUCGGAAGGAACACCAGUGGCGAAGGCGGCUACCUGGACAGAUACUGACGCUGAGGCGCGAGAGCGUG
rnacentral:rRNA from 1 species